AAAGGUUUGGUCCUAGCCUUUUUAUUAGUUGUUAGCAGAAUUAUACAUGCAAGAAUCACCAUCCCUGUGUAAAUGCCCUACAAAUCAUAAAAGAUCCAAAGGAGCUGGUAUCAAGCACACGUAUACAGUAGCUUAUAACACCUUGCUUAGCCACACCCCCACGGGACACAGCAGUAAUUAAAAUUAAGCAAUAAACGAAAGUUUGACUAAGUCAUGCAACAUUAUUAAGGGUUGGUAAAUCUCGUGCCAGCCACCGCGGUCAUACGAGUAACCCUAACUAAUAAAUAUCGGCGUAAAGAGUGUUAAAGAUAAAAUCAAAAUAAGAUUAAACCUUAUCUAGGUUGUAAAAAACAAUAGAUAAAAUUAAACCCAUGAACGAAAGUAAUCUUAAUAACUCUGAAUACACUAAAGCUAAGACCCAAACUGGGAUUAGAUACCCCACUAUGCUUAGCUAUAAACACAAACAUUUAAUAACAAAAAUUUUCGCCUGAGAACUACUAGCAAUAGCUUAAAACUCAAAGGACUUGGCGGUGCUUUAAACCCAUCUAGAGGAGCCUGUUCUAUAAUCGAUAAACCCCGAUAGACCUCACCACUUCUCGCUAAUUCAGUCUAUAUACCGCCAUCUUCAGCAAACCCUACUAAGGAAAAAAAGUAAGCACAAUAAUUAUCAUGAAAACGUUAGGUCAAGGUGUAACCAAUGAAGUGGUAAGAAAUGGGCUACAUUUUCUUAUCUAAAGAAUAAUAAACAGUAGUCUACAUGAAAUCUGUAGACCUAAGGAGGAUUUAGUAGUAAAUUAAGAAUAGAGAGCUUAAUUGAAUUAGGCAAUAAAGCACGCACACACCGCCCGUCACCCUCCUCAAGUAAUUACUCAAAUUUAUCUAAAUUAUAAUAAUAUUAGAGGAGACAAGUCGUAACAAGGUAAGCAUACUGGAAAGUGUGCUUGGAUGAA
rnacentral:ncRNA from 1 species